UUUCCGUAGGUGAACCUGCGGAAGGAUCAUUAAAAAAUGUGGUACCAUUUGUUGGUACUAAUUAAUCAUCCUACCCUUUGUGAAUUUGUUUGUAACGAAUUUUUUUAAAUGGGUCUUUCCCUAAGUUGGAUUGUAGUAAAAAUACAAAAAGACUUAGGGGAAUGACUUUUUUAAAAGACUUUUUUUUAAAUUAAAACUUUUUGUAUUCAUUUGUCUAAAAUUUAUUUUUAUAAUAUAAAAACAACUUUGACGAUGGAUCUCUUGGUUCUCGCAACGAUGAAGAACGCAGCAAAAUGCGAUAAGUUAGUGUGAAUUGCAGAAUACAGUGAAUCAUCGAAUCUUUCGAACGCAUAUGUGCACUUUUUUAGUUUACUAAAAAGUAUGUCUGUUUGAGUAUCAGUAAAAUAUUCUCACAAAACAAUUUGUUUGUGGUUAUGAGUGUUUUAUACAACGAUAAACAAGUUGUUUCACUUUAAAUUCUUUUUAAUGAAUUUUACCAAUUCAUAAAUUAAAAUUGGAUAAAAUUUUCCUUUAACGAGGAAUAACCUAAACAAUUUUAAAUUUUAUGGAUUAAUACAUUCAACAAAGGAAUCUAUACAACAAAUAACUUGAUCCCAAAUCAGAUAAGAGUACCCGCUGAACUUAAGCAUAUCAAUAAGCGGAGGAAAGAAACUAACAAGGAUUCCCUUAGUAACGGCGAGUGAAGCGGGAAGAGCUCAAAUUUGAAAUCUUCAAGGUUUGACCUUGGACGAAUUGUAGUUUAUAGAAGUGUUUUCUGUUGGAGUUUUGGUAAAAGUUCUUUGGAAUAGGAACAUCAUAGAGGGUGAGAAUCCCGUAUUUGACCAUGACUUUCCAGCUGUGUGAUACACUUUCAAAAGAGUCGGAUUGUUUGGGAAUGCAGUCCAAAAUGGGUGGUAAAUUCAUCUAAAGCUAAAUAUUGGCGAGAGACCGAUAGCGAACAAGUACCGUGAGGAAAGAUGAAAAGAACUUUGAAAAGAGAGUUAAACAGUACGUGAAAUUGUCAAAAGGGAAGCGUUUGACACCAGUGUUGUUUUCUCGAAAAUCAAUUUAAUGAGUUCUUGUUUUUAGGUUAUUGUGACUUUAUCAGCGCAUUUCUUAUUUUACUUGACUCAUUGAAUGCACUUUUCGUUUAACAAGUCAACAUCAAUUUCUUUGGUGGUAAAAAGUUAAAGGAAGGUGGCUUGGACUUCGGUUCAAAGUGUUUAUAGCCUUUUUUCUAUGCCAUCGGAGAGAUUGAGGUCUGCAGCGUAGAUCCUUCGGGGUUAGAUACCUUUGUGCUAAGUUAUAGUUUUUUAUAGACAACUUGUUGACUAUAAUUAACCCUGUAAUUUACUCGCUUAGGCUAUUUUACCUACGCUUAGGAUGUUGAG
rnacentral:misc_RNA from 1 species